rnacentral:lncRNA from 1 species
UUACCUUUGGCAUUUAUUUUUAUCUAGCCCUCAUCAUCCAUGGCUAUAAAACGUUGUGUUGUCUAUUUGGAGUUCAGAUAAUCAGUGCUCGUUUACCCACCUUUUUGACCAUUUCUUCCUAAAGAUAUGGGAGCCCUCAAGCUUGGAAACAUGUUAUGCUUUCUACUUGUGAUGUCACUCGUUUUUGUUCCUGGUAAGCAUUGGAUAACUAUCUCAACUAUAGAACAAGGCACAUCUUUAAUUCAUACUCUAACUAUUUGCUAGUCGUAUGUGAAUUCUAUAUACAAUGACUUAUCUUUCCAUAUAUUUCUUUUGAUAACACCAUGAGGUUUGAUUUUGUCAUACACCAUAUUGUGUCCAUUGUUUUGUAGGCUACGAAGCAAAGACUUGCACAAUAACGAGCACGACAUACCCCACUUCCACAUGCAUUCGGGAAUGAUGUGGUGAGGCCUGCCACAAUGAGGGCUAUGAUGAAGGGGCGUGUAACAUUAUCAGCUUUAGACCGAUUUUGAUACUUUGUUUCUGCAAGAAAGAGUGCUAAAGAUAGAUGUCUUGCAACUAUCCUCUAAUGUGAUGUAGCAAAUAAUAAGAUUAUGGCGUACGAAUAACUAAGGAUUAACAAUGGUAGAAGUCGAUACAUUACCAAAUGUUCCUUGUGUUUUGGCUUAAAAUUAUGGAGUAAGAAUAACUAUGGAGGAAGAAUAACUAAGGAUGAACAAUGGCAGAAGUCGAUACAAUGGUAGACACAUGAAUAUUACUCAUGCAAAGUAUGAUAGAGUACCCUCCUACUAGGAG